rnacentral:lncRNA from 1 species
GCUCCCUUUUAUCCAUGCAGGCCUCUUCUUCGAAGAAAACAUGGUCCUUCACCUCUAAGGACCACCCGGAAAAACGGGUAAUGCUUGCGUCAACUAUUGAUGUCAUGUGAUAGGAAAUAGCUGGUACUGUCUCCUUUAAAUCAAUUAAACAAAUAAAUAUCUGCUAGUCCGUACUUUACUAUUUUAAUUCUUUAUUUUAUAUUAUUAAAAAAUAUAUUUAUUAUCCUCCAUCCUUAUCCAAAAGGUCAGGUAGUGGGCCUCGCACAACUUCAAUCAUAUGAGGUCGGCAUAAUUAAAGAAAUUAUAUUUUAUAUAAUGUGCACCACGUCAGUAGUGCACCGCAUGCACACAAGAUGAGAUAAGACCAU